AAACUACAUUUUUUUUCAAGUUUGAUCCAUUGAGUAAAAAAACAUUUUUUUUGUUGAAUUUGUUUAGUUUUUAAAAAACGAGCUAGAAUUGAGGUGCCGUCGCAAGACGAGUGGGGAUAUUUUAAUUAUAAUGUCUGAUUGUUUAGUUCUAUGUUUCUGUUUUGUUUUCGUUGUAUCGGUUGCGUUCUUGGCGCCUUAGUUUCUUGCUGAGGGGUCAGUAACACGUUUUGGUUCAUUUUUUUUGUGAAUUUUUGUAUAUAAUCAAUGUGUAUAAUAUGAUUACAAAACUACUUAAUCAAGAUAGACAUAAAACUUUUAUUAUUAACAAUUUAAGACAAGCAUUUUAAUGCAUUGAAGAAGACUUUUGACCCAUUCAGCCAAUUUUACUUUUAGCUAAAACUUUACUUUGACCAACUACCCAAACUAAACUCUUUCCUCACAAAUGGGUUAAAAUUGCCAUUUUACUUGUAAACUAUAUAAAUAUGAAUUUGAUCAUAAUCAUCACAAAAGAUGCUACAAAAAUGAUGUUUUUUUGGGUAUACCCAACCACUGGACGUGCUACUUGCCUUUAGUAGUAUUGUUUUAGUGACUCGUAAUUAGCUUUCAACCUCAUGUAUACCUAAUAGUUGCUUUGCUAGAUGAUAAAGAAUAAUCAAACUCGUUAAAAGGUGACUCUCAUUUAUAUAAUUAAUAAUACAUCAACAUAAAGAAAUAAGAACGUUAAAGGAUGGCAAAUUAUACCUCGGCUUCAUAGGCAGAUCAAUUGACUUAUGUGCUCUAAUCGUCCCUCUUACAUGUUUGGUUAAACCCCUUGUUUAUAGUGUCCACAUGUAUAAACGCUAACCAUUAAUAUUGUGUCGGUUUAAUUGACUGAAUAUUUACGAAAGAAUUGGAAUCUUUCAAAGGAAUUGGCUUUUGUGGGAAAUUGAAUUGAUUCCACUGAAAAACUUUAUGAUGUUUGGUUGGUAAAUUUAUAAAAGGGAAUUGGUACAAAAAGCAACGACUAAGAAAUUUUAAACACUACUACAAAAAGGUACAGGUAAUCAACAUGUUGGUCUUUGUCCUCGUCUCCUUUCACGAAAUAAGUACCUUAGUUACAUCAUAGUUUGGUUUUGUCUUGGUUCAUGUUUACAUAGUGACUAAUUAACUAAACUAAAAAAGUAGUUGAAUUCUAAACACAAGUCAUUUUCUGAUAGAAGAACUUAAGAAAAAUUGAUUCUCGUCCCUUUUGUUGAUCAACACCUAUGGAAGAACUAACCACUAAAGAAGUUGAUCAUACUUCCAUGGGCUUUUGGGUUUAAGAGGAUAAAAAUUAAUUUCAGUAGUUACGGUUAUCAAUGGGAAAAUCCAAAAGAAAAAUUGUUAUGAUUUCAUCGAGGUUUUUUGAUGUUUGA
rnacentral:lncRNA from 1 species